GACGAACGCUGGCGGCGUGCUUAACACAUGCAAGUCAAACGGGAUCCGGGCUUUCGGGUUUGGUGAGAGUGGCGAACGGGUGAGUAACACGUGAGUAACCUGCCCCCUUCUUUGGGAUAACGUCGGGAAAUCGGCGCUAAUACUGGAUAUUCUUGCUGCAUCGCAUGGUGUGGUUUGGAAAGGGUUUCUGGUGGGGGAUGGGCUCGCGGCCUAUCAGCUUGUUGGUGGGGUGAUGGCCUACCAAGGCUUUGACGGGUAGCCGGCCUGAGAGGGUGUCCGGCCACACUGGGACUGAGACACGGCCCAGACUCCUACGGGAGGCAGCAGUGGGGAAUAUUGCACAAUGGGCGCAAGCCUGAUGCAGCGACGCCGCGUGAGGGAUGACGGCCUUCGGGUUGUAAACCUCUUUCAGUAUGGAACAAGGAUCCUUCUUUUGGGGGGUUUGAGGGUACGUGCAGAAGAAGCGCCGGCUAACUACGUG
rnacentral:rRNA from 1 species